rnacentral:rRNA from 1 species
GACGAACGCUGGCGGCGUGCCUAAUACAUGCAAGUCGAGCGGACCGGAUUGGGGCUUGCCUUGAUUCGGUCAGCGGCGGACGGGUGAGUAACACGUGGGCAACCUGCCCGCAAGACCGGGAUAACUCCGGGAAACCGGAGCUAAUACCGGAUAACACCGAAGACCGCAUGGUCUUCGGUUGAAAGGCGGCCUUUGGGCUGUCACUUGCGGAUGGGCCCGCGGCGCAUUAGCUAGUUGGUGAGGUAACGGCUCACCAAGGCGACGAUGCGUAGCCGGCCUGAGAGGGUGACCGGCCACACUGGGACUGAGACACGGCCCAGACUCCUACGGGAGGCAGCAGUAGGGAAUCUUCCGCAAUGGGCGAAAGCCUGACGGAGCGACGCCGCGUGAGCGAAGAAGGCCUUCGGGUCGGAAAGCUCUGUUGUGAGGGACGAAGGAGCGUCGUUCGAAGAGGGCGGCGCGGUGACGGUACCUCACGAGAAAGCCCCGGCUAACUACGUG